GACGAACGCUGGCGGCGUGCCUAAUACAUGCAAGUCGAACGAACUCUGGUAUUGAUUGGUGCUUGCAUCAUGAUUUACAUUUGAGUGAGUGGCGAACUGGUGAGUAACACGUGGGAAACCUGCCCAGAAGCGGGGGAUAACACCUGGAAACAGAUGCUAAUACCGCAUAACAACUUGGACCGCAUGGUCCGAGCUUGAAAGAUGGCUUCGGCUAUCACUUUUGGAUGGUCCCGCGGCGUAUUAGCUAGAUGGUGGGGUAACGGCUCACCAUGGCAAUGAUACGUAGCCGACCUGAGAGGGUAAUCGGCCACAUUGGGACUGAGACACGGCCCAAACUCCUACGGGAGGCAGCAGUAGGGAAUCUUCCACAAUGGACGAAAGUCUGAUGGAGCAACGCCGCGUGAGUGAAGAAGGGUUUCGGCUCGUAAAACUCUGUUGUUAAAGAAGAACAUAUCUGAGAGUAACUGUUCAGGUAUUGACGGUAUUUAACCAGAAAGCCACGGCUAACUACGUGCCAGCAGCCGCGGUAAUACGUAGGUGGCAAGCGUUGUCCGGAUUUAUUGGGCGUAAAGCGAGCGCAGGCGGUUUUUUAAGUCUGAUGUGAAAGCCUUCGGCUCAACCGAAGAAGUGCAUCGGAAACUGGGAAACUUGAGUGCAGAAGAGGACAGUGGAACUCCAUGUGUAGCGGUGAAAUGCGUAGAUAUAUGGAAGAACACCAGUGGCGAAAGGCGGCUGUCUGGUCUGUAACUGACGCUGAGGCUCGAAAGUAUGGGUAGCAAACAGGAUUAGAUACCCUGAUAGUCCAUACCGUAAACGAUGAAUGCUAAGUGUUGGAGGGUUUCCGCCCUUCAGUGCUGCAGCUAACGCAUUAAGCAUUCCGCCUGGGGAGUACGGCCGCAAGGCUGAAACUCAAAGGAAUUGACGGGGGCCCGCACAAGCGGUGGAGCAUGUGGUUUAAUUCGAAGCUACGCGAAGAACCUUACCAGGUCUUGACAUACUAUGCAAAUCUAAGAGAUUAGACGUUCCCUUCGGGGACAUGGAUACAGGUGGUGCAUGGUUGUCGUCAGCUCGUGUCAUGAGAUGUUGGGUUAAGUCCCGCAACGAGCGCAACCCUUAUUAUCAGUUGCCAGCAUUAAGUUGGGCACUCUGGUGAGACUGCCGGUGACAAACCGGAGGAAGGUGGGGAUGACGUCAAAUCAUCAUGCCCCUUAUGACCUGGGCUACACACGUGCUACAAUGGAUGGUACAACGAGUUGCGAACUCGCGAGAGUAAGCUAAUCUCUUAAAGCCAUUCUCAGUUCGGAUUGUAGGCUGCAACUCGCCUACAUGAAGUCGGAAUCGCUAGUAAUCGCGGAUCAGCAUGCCGCGGUGAAUACGUUCCCGGGCCUUGUACACACCGCCCGUCACACCAUGAGAGUUUGUAACACCCAAAGUCGGUGGGGUAACCUUUUAGGAACCAGCCGCCUAAGGUGGGACAGAUGAUUAGGGUG
rnacentral:rRNA from 1 species